ensembl:ncRNA F11D5.14 ncRNA
AGGUUGUCCCCAAAACGUUUUUUUCCGUUUGUCGGUUUCACCUUCUUAACUGCAUACCCUUUUCAUCAUCAUGUCGUUUCCUUUUGCCUCCCAUAAAUUCCGGCGUGUAAGCCACCAAAACGUGAUGAGAGCUAAUGGGCGAGGAGGAGAAGAGAAAAAAGUGUACUAGUUUAGGAGUUUAGAGUGCAACUGGUGACAAAAAUAUGAUGCAUUUCUAACAAUCGUCCCCUCCUCUUUUCUUGGCCACUUUCCCAAAACGGACACUUUUUUGCAAUAUUGC